rnacentral:rRNA from 1 species
UACAGAGACUGCGAGCGUUAUUCGGAUUCACUGGGCGUAAAGGGUGCGCAGGCGGCCAAGUGUGUGAGGCGUGAAAGCCCGGGGCUUAACCCCGGAAUUGCACCUCAAACUACAUGGCUAGAGUAUUGGAGAGGGUAACGGAAUUCACGGUGUAGCAGUGAAAUGCGUAGAUAUCGUGAGGAACACCGAUGGCGAAGGCAGGUCUCUGGGCUGACACUGACGCUCAUGCACGAAAGCGUGGGGAGCAAACAGG